rnacentral:pre_miRNA from 1 species
CAGCAUUGUGGGUUCUUACCAGUCAGGCUCUGGCUAUAUUCCAGGUCUCAGUUGGUCCUGGGUAUAACCAAAGCCCAACUGUACAUUAGCCCAG